rnacentral:rRNA from 1 species
AGCAUAUCAAUAAGCGGAGGAAAAAGAAAGCAACAGCGAUAGCCUCAGUAACGGCGAGUGAAGCGGCUACAGCUCAAAUUUGAAAUCUGGCCUCCUUUGGGGGUCCGAGUUGUAAUUUGCAGAGGAUGCUUUGGCAUUGGCGGCGGUCUAAGUUCCUUGGAACAGGACAUCGCAGAGGGUGAGAAUCCCGUACGUGGGCGCCUGCCUUUGCCGUGUAAAGCUCCUUCGACGAGUCGAGUUGUUUGGGAAUGCAGCUCUAAAUGGGAGGUAAAUUUCUCCUAAAGCUAAAUACCGGCCAGAGACCGAUAGCGCACAAGUAGAGUGAUCGAAAGAUGAAAAGUACUUUGGAAAGAGAGUCAAAUAGCACGUGAAAUUGUUGAAAGGGAAGCGCUUGCAGCCAGACUUGCCCGCAGUUGCUCACCUAGGCUUUCGCCUGGGGCACUCUUCUGCGGGCAGGCCAGCAUCAGUUUGGGCGGUCGGAUAAAGGCCUCUGUCAUGUACCACCCUUCGGGGUGGCCUUAUAGGGGAGGCGUAAUGCGACCAGCCCGGACUGAGGUCCGCGCAUCUGCUAGGAUGCUGGCGUAAUGGCUGUAAGCGGCCCGUCUUGAAACACGGACCAAGGAGUCUAACAUCUAUGCGAGUGUUUGGGUGUCAAGCCCGGGCGCGCAAUGAAAGUGAACGGAGGUGGGAACCUUUCGGGGUGCACCAUCGACCGAUCCUGAAGUCUUCGGAUGGAUUUGAGUAAGAGCAUAGCUGUUGGGACCCGAAAGAUGGUGAACUAUGCUUGAAUAGGGUGAAGCCAGAGGAAACUCUGGUGGAGGCUCGCAGCGGUUCUGACGUGCAAAUCGAUCGUCAAAUUUGGGGCAUAGGGGCGAAAGACUAAUCGAACCAUCUAGUAGCUGGUUCCUGCCGAA